AGAGUUGAAAAGGUGCAUCAUG
rnacentral:siRNA from 1 species